rnacentral:misc_RNA from 1 species
GAUGAAGAACUUAGCGAAAUGCGAUAAGUAGUGUGAAUUGCAGAAUUCAGUGAAUCAUCGAAUCUUUGAACGCACAUUGCGCCCCUUGGUAUUCCAUGGGGCAUGCCUGUUCGAGCGUCAUUUGUACCUUCAAGCUUUGCUUGGUGUUGGGUGUUUGUCCUGAGGGACUCGCCUUAAAGUAAUUGGCAGCCAGUGUUUGGUUUUGAAGCGCAGCACAAGUCGCGAUUCAAAGCUAUACGCCCGCUUCCACAAGCCUUUUUCACUUUUGACCUCGGAUCAGGUAGGGAUACCCGCUGAACUUAAGCAUAUCAAUAAGCGGAGGA